rnacentral:lncRNA from 1 species
GUGUGAUUUAGUGUUUUCGGUGUCCUUGGAUUUAUAUGUAUGUUGGUCGAUUCAUGCUCAUUAGGAGUUUGAUGCUAUGCCAUCCAUAUGGUGGCCUGAGAUUUUUGUUUCUUUUGUCAGAAAUCGCAUAAGUGAGCUCAUUCUCGACUUCGAUUCGGCGUUCGGUGUGAUGAGUGGAUCGUCUCUCUGCAGUUCAGGUACUGUUUGGGAUCUCUUUGAGCUAGGGUUCAGUUUACUUCUGAUUGGUCUCGAUUUGUUAUUCUCGCUAUUAUUUUGGUUGCACUCUCUUGUGAUGCGGUUGUAUAUCGCUGAGUCUUUCUCCAUCAACACAUCGGCUAUCUCGGCGUGUUCUUACAUUUCUAUCCUUUACAAAAUAGUCCACAUUUCAUACUCCGAUUCCACUUUUCCACAUGUACCCUCGAUGCACUACUUUACUUUUAGAAGAGCGUAUGGUAGCGGCGACUGUGACAUUUUUUUUAGAAAAUUUUAGAAUCUUUGAAUUCUGCAGUCACCCCGCUUAAUUUCUGCACCAUAGGAUAGAGUACAACGAGUCCUCUCAGAUUCAAUUUUCUGUUCACUAACAAAGACAAAGAGAUUAAGCUAAGUUAUUCAAACACCUAGAUGAUCUAAGUUGCCUACUUUCUCUUACCACGGGAUUGCAUUUCUUCAAACUAUGUUGCUUUUUAAUCAUCAGGGUUUUUAUAUUUUUCAGUUCUUCCAGCAGAAAGUAAUCUGAUUUGUCAACUAAUUAUAAACAACAUCAUGUUAACGUGAAUUUUGGUUCACCUUCACUCAUUCUGACAUUUAUCACCAUAAAAUAUUUUACAGCAAAUUGUCUUUGUCCUUAGUCAUGGACGGGUUUGGUUGAGGUGCACUUGUGUACAACCCUUUAAGUCAUCAAGUACUUUGGUGUCCUAUUUUUUGCAAUAUAGAAUGUCUCAUGGUGCAUUUUCUUCUGUAAUCUUAUUUAGAUGAGCACCAGCAUCUCUGUAACUUCUUCAAAAUACAGUAACGAAGCUGCAUUUGUUUUCAUGGUUGGCUCUUCUCUCAUCAGGCGGCACCAAAUUGGUAGGGCUUCACCUCAUACUUUCAAUGCUUCUCAUUCAGUGCAUCGUUGUUUUGUGCUUGAAUACUCUUCUUUUACUUGCAUCUUCUUUUCCUUUUAAUUUGACUGAGCAUUUUAGUCUGGCAAUGUGCCCGUGUCAAUUCUACAUAUGGUUAUCGCAUCAGCAUGAUACAAAAUGAGAGCAUUUCAUUGGCGGCUAGAUUGUUUCAUGGUUAUGUUCUUCUGUAAUUAUCUUUUUGGGUCAAUUUACACAUGAUAUAGCUAAUAUGUUGUAUGGCGAAUUAAUUUAGGUCUGUUUCGGUGGCCAGCUACUGAUAUGUCAUUAGUGGCUAGAACAAGGCACAUACUAUUUUUUCCUUUCGAUUGGGUGAUAUACCCCACGGCUGUAAAGAAAUGAAGUUGCAGUGUCGUACGGCGAAUUAAUUUAGCUUUGUUUCGGUGGCCAACUGCUGACAUAUUAUUAGUGGCUAGAACAAGGCACGUACUUUUUUUUUUCCUUUCGAUUGGGUGAUAUACCCCACAGCUGUAAAGAAAUGAAGUUGCAGUGUCGUACGGCAAAUUAAUUUAGCUCUAUUUCGGUGGCCAACUGCUGACAUCUUAUUAGUGGCUACAAAAAGGCACAUACUGUUUUUUUUCUUUCUAUUGGGUGAUAUACCCCAUAGCUGUAAAUAAUGAAGUUGCAGUGUAAUGAUAUAGCAUCUUAUUUCUGCAUCUUUUGCCUUGCGGUCUUCAGUACUUGUGGUUAGUACUUGUGGUUAGCUGAUGUUUAUUUUCUGAUUCUAUUGAUUCUUGUUAGCAGGGUUGUCUGACAUGGUCUGCAAUGUUAGUGCUGGUCUGAAGCUUUUCUAGAAGCAUUUGUGUGUUCUCAAGCUCAGGAGUUACAAGGAGCAAUGGUGCUAUGGUCUUGAACUUCCACUGAUCUUGUACUGAAGAAUGAUCCUUAGCUUAGUUACUUAGCUUGAUGUCUUUUUUUGAGGAUAGGUUUGGAGUUGCAUCCACUUUUGUCUAGGUUGGUACGUCCACCAGAAUUCGCAUGACAUUAUAUGCCAAGAUGAGUUGUUGUACUUCCUCUAAAUGCAUGGCUCAAUGCAAACGACUGAUUUAUUUUUCUUAUAAUAUGUAAACCAUGUACUGCAUCAACACUCAUUGUAGAUCAUGCUUUCAAUUGCCUGAACUUUCUUUUUGUGGUAUGCAGAUGACAAAAUGUAGGGAUUCAUAUUUUUCUUAUGUCCCUGCAUGGGAUUUUAUGAUUGCACAAAUCAUAAGAGAAAUCAGUGAUAGGCCUAAAAUUAUUGUGGUUGCAG